rnacentral:rRNA from 1 species
GACGAACGCUGGCGGCGUGCCUAAUACAUGCAAGUCGAGCGGACAGACGGGAGCUUGCUCCCUGAUGUUAGCGGCGGACGGGUGAGUAACACGUGGGUAACCUGCCUGUAAGACUGGGAUAACUCCGGGAAACCGGGGCUAAUACCGGAUGGUUGUCUGAACCGCAUGGUUCAGACAUAAAAGGUGGCUUCGGCUACCACUUACAGAUGGACCCGCGGCGCAUUAGCUAGUUGGUGAGGUAACGGCUCACCAAGGCAACGAUGCGUAGCCGACCUGAGAGGGUGAUCGGCCACACUGGGACUGAGACACGGCCCAGACUCCUACGGGAGGCAGCAGUAGGGAAUCUUCCGCAAUGGACGAAAGUCUGACGGAGCAACGCCGCGUGAGUGAUGAAGGUUUUCGGAUCGGAAAGCUCUGUUGUUAGGGAAGAACAAGUGCCGUUCAAAUAGGGCGGCACCUUGACGGUACCUAACCAGAAAGCCACGGCUAACUACGUG